GAUGAACGCUGGCGGCGUGCCUAACACAUGCAAGUCGAACGAACAGGCCCUGCGCUUGCUCGUUGCUCGAGUGGCGAACGGGUGUGUGACACGUGAGUAACCUGCCCCUGUCUUUCGGAUAACAUCACGAAACAGGGGCUCAUACCGCAGAUGAGCUCCUGCUGCACGUUGGUGGUUGGAAAGUUUCGGCGGUUGUGGAUGGUCUCGCGGCACAUCCGCUUGUUUGUGGGGUAGUUGCAUACCAAGCCUUAGACGGGUAGCCGACCUGAGAAGGUGACCGGCCACCUUGGGACUAAGAUACGGACCAGACGGCUACGGGAGGCAGCAGUGGGGAGUAUGGCGCAAUGAGCGGAAGUCUGAUGCAGCGACGCCGGGAGCGGGAUGACGGCCUUCGGGGUGUAAACCGCUGUCGCCUGUGACGAGGCGUGAGUGACGGUAACGGGUAAGGAAGCACCGGCUAACUACGUG
rnacentral:rRNA from 1 species